CAACGGCGACGUGAUGCGGCGGGGCACAGAAAUAGGUGCGCGGUAGGACAAGGCGGUAGGGACGGGUCAUGUGUUCACUGGUGUCACUGGCGUUAGUUCUGUCACACCAGAAAUACGUCCUGUUUCUCACCGGUGUGUAAUGGAUGUGGGGCUUUCCUCACAGGGUGCGUCGCCUGCACGAGUUCUUUUGCAGAUGUACGUUCUGUAAAAUAAAAGCUGAAGGCAGCAGAGACACGCUGCAAGUGACAGGAUGGAUUGGUUGAUCUGCCUGGCUGAUUGCAGACAAACUGCACAUCAGAUCUCAUCUCUUCUUAGCGAAGGAAGAGUGAGCCCCUAACAGAGCCGUGGCUGUGAUCCCUCUGCCCUCAGAGCCGGUGCUGCCCAUGGGGAAUGUGCUCGAAAUCCCACCUGUGUUUCCAAACUGACGUUAAAUUACUGCAGACGUCUCAGUAUUUGCUGUGCACGGACAUAUCUUCUGUUGGAAAACAACACAUUGCGGUGAUGGAAAAUAACCUGAAUUCUUCCAUGCCGUUAACUGCAGGAGGUUUUCUACCCGAAGGGCCAUGUCUGGCAGACAGGCUGGUGGGGCAGCACAGCCCAGUGCUGGGCUUUCAGGGCCGUGCACACAGCUGCUGGCUGGGGCUGAACCAGACGGAGCCAUGGCUGUAUGGCUGCGUGGCUGUUUGGCUGUGACUGUGUGACUGUCAGAUGGCUGUUCUGUACAGAAAGGGCUCUUCACCACAGCCUGUGCUCUGGGCUUUCUUCACACACUUUGCUGCACCUUGGGACGGGCCCCACGGUGGCUCUGAGCCUCACAACGGGCCCUGCUGCUGCCCCACCCCCACGCCAGGCCCUGCAAGUCCACCACAGCAGCAAGCUGCACCAUGGCAAGUGGCACCUAUAUGCAAAACAAUGACUGCUCCAGUUUUGAGUGGGGUCUUCCCAGACAGGGUUGAUGGUCUGAUCCUACUUCUGAUUUGAUAACAAGCCUUUUGGUUCACAUUCAUAAGAAGUGAGUGAUGAAGACGACAAGCAGAACCAAGGGGGCCCUGCCUGCAGCCUUCAGGUAGAGGAGGACCGCCAGGUUUAUUGCACAGCCUCCUUUCCACAGGCUGGCACAUGAGAACUGCACUACAAGGCUCUGGUGGACAGCACACAGCAUACCGUAGUGCCAUCAAGCUAUAGAGGAACAGAACUCUUCCUGGAGUAGUGAUGGAGGAUCCCAACAGCUAACUGUAUUGGAGGCUGAAGUGAGCCCAAUUGGGAAGGAGUGGCAAAACACCCCAUUGUGACCAACCCAGAGGCUCUGUGCAACGUUGGCAUAGAUCACCUCACAGGAAGACACCUCAAGGACUCAAACCAUGGCAUAGAUCACCUCACAAGAAGACACCUCAAGGACUCACUUGGUUUAACCUGACAGCGAGCUAAAUGCAUUGAGAUGUUUGGAGAUGUCCUCAGCCAUCUUCAGCCUGAAGCACCACUGAGACCCGCAGCUGCUGCAGAACACAAUGAAGCUACCAGAGAUGCUAAUGGAGGAGCUGAAGGGUUCAUAGGCAGAAAGCAAGGGGUGUGCUGUGGAGCCUACAACCAUGGAUUGCAGGAAUGCCUUUCUUAAAGCCAACAGAAUGCCAUCUUUUUUGAUGGAAAUAUAACAGUGGGACUUGAAAGCAUGACCAGCGCCCAGCGUUCAAAACAGCAUGCGUAAGGCCAGACACAAACUGUGAGACUAUCUUUAAGUCAUUAAAAAGAUCUAGAAUUAGUCAUAUUUGCCCUUUAUUUCUGAGCCUUUCAUGUUUCCUUGCUUUUGUGUUUUCAUUCUUUCCUUUCCCAGGAGCAGGAUACAACUUCAAGGGGGAGGAGAAACAAAGAGGACACCUGGGUUUGGGGUGCUGGGCCUCUGCGCCAUGCACCAAGAGCCACCAAGUCCAGAGAGCCAGCAGACUGUGAGACCCAGAGACUUUCAGUAAGCC
ensembl:lncRNA